UCCUCAACACAGCACCCGCCACAAAGAAC
rnacentral:piRNA from 1 species